CUUGAACAGAGUAAACAUACAUGAAUGAACGUAUGCAAGAUGGAACUCGUCACUUUGAAAACGCAGUCCACCCUCGAUUGGCGUGAAAGGGGGCUGGACAGUGGGGCCAUUGGAUGCAGAAGGUGGAUGCAUGGAAGCAAUCAGGAUGAAGAAGCUCCAGAGUCCAGCCUGAAGCUGUUGGAGGCUGACUGCUCUGGCAUGUCUGACUCAUUUAUGACUCAGAAAACAAUGUGAAGAAAAAAAACCCUUUUCCAGCCAUGAAAUGCCUCCAGUGCUGCCAUAUGGCAGUAUUAUUUAUGACACAUUAACAAGGAAAAAUGUGAUGUCUUCAAAUUCCAUUUCAUGCACUUCUAAUGACAGAUACUGAUAAUAAUGCAUUAACUCAGGAGGGUGUUGGAUCGCUCUUGAAGUCCAUUUUCACGCCAGUGUUUCUGGUUUUGCCUGGGGAGUGAAUAAAUGAUAGCGUGCUUA